CCUUGUCACAUAUCUGGCUCUGAGCAAUGCAGCAGUAAACCUGCAUUAUUGUGCACUCUGCCUAAAUAAUAGUGAGAUUGUUUGGCACUCAGAUAUCACAGGAAAUAGUGAACGUGAAUUGGCAAAAAGUUUAAUAUUUGACAAAAUGAACUGGUUUUGUGGAAAAGAGAGCAAAACUAGGGCUGCCAUAUGUCUGGGAUUUCAAAGACGGAAUUGACAUCCAGGGGGAAUUGCCGAAAGGUGACGCUUUGUCCUGGUUUUUAAGCAAGUUAAUUGAAAAAUCACAUUUUUAUUUGUGUUUUUGUAAAAAUAAAAAACAGCACACACACAACCCUCAAACUUAGGGGUUUGUCUAAAAAAAGCUCAACUUAGGGGUCCUGGUUUCUACUUUUUGGAGUAUGUCAACCCUAGCAAAACCGUUUCUGAAAUAGAUCCACCAAGAUUCAAAACGUUCACCUGGUCUCAGAGAGCCCUCCUGUGUACAUUUAAGUAGAGUUAGCUUUUAAUGGCAAAAAUUGCAGGUAAUUUUCACAGGCAGAAAGAUAACUGUUUUCUACAAUGGACUAGAUGUUACUGAUUCAGUGUCAUUUAUCUUUUCAGAGACUAAGCAAUCAACCAUUUCCCGUGAAUCCAUUUGUUCUGCUUCAUACUGUAUGUGCCUGUGAUAACGCCAGCAUUAAUGGAUCCUCUUCCUCCUCUUUUAAAGCAGAUGAGAAAGUAUGAGCUUGUUGUUAUACCAGGUGUAUUUUCAUCUUCUAGGUGUUGGCUAAUCCUGUUCUGAAUUUUAAUGACCUUAAAAAAGGAUAUGGCAAUUGAAUUAUAUACUCUGCUUAUCAAAGAACAAAGGACAAAGUAACUUGCAGCCUACAAAGAACUGUAAGGUUAUCGGAACAAAAGAAAAUCUUCAAGUCGUUCAGCGGCUGCAUGAAGUGGUGUGUCCAGUCCCUUACCCAGGUUGACACUAGCUCCUUGGAGAGAAUGUAUGGAAAGGAAAACAAACUAGUUAGCAUUACAUGGAAAGA